UUACGGCCACAUCACGUGGAAACAACUGUUCCUGUACGAUCACCGAUGUUAAGCAACGUCGAUCCUGUUCAGUACUUUGAUGAGUGACGUUUAGGAAUUCCAUGUACUGUAAG